UCGAUUCCCUUAGUAGCGGCGAGCGAAACGGGAAGAGCCCAAACCAACAAGCUUGCUUGUUGGGGUUGUAGGACACUCUAUACGGAGUUACAAAGGACGACAUUAGACGAAUCAUCUGGAAAGAUGAAUCAAAGAAGGUAAUAAUCCUGUAGUCGAAAAUGUUGUCUCUCUUGAGUGGAUCCUGAGUACGACGGAGCACGUGAAAUUCCGUCGGAAUCUGGGAGGACCAUCUCCUAAGGCUAAAUACUCUCUAGUGACCGAUAGUGAACCAGUACCGUGAGGGAAAGGUGAAAAGCACCCCGGAAGGGGAGUGAAAUAGAACCUGAAACCGUGUGCUUACAAGUAGUCAGAGCCCGUUAAUGGGUGAUGGCGUGCCUUUUGUAGAAUGAACCGGCGAGUUACGAUUUGAUGCAAGGUUAAGCAGUAAAUGUGGAGCCGUAGCGAAAGCGAGUCUGAAUAGGGCGUUUAGUAUUUGGUCGUAGACCCGAAACCAGGUGAUCUACCCUUGGUCAGGUUGAAGUUCAGGUAACACUGAAUGGAGGACCGAACCGACUUACGUUGAAAAGUGAGCGGAUGAACUGAGGGUAGCGGAGAAAUUCCAAUCGAACCUGGAGAUAGCUGGUUCUCUCCGAAAUAGCUUUAGGGCUAGCCUCAAGUGAUGAUUAUUGGAGGUAGAGCACUGUUUGGACGAGGGGCCCCUCUCGGGUUACCGAAUUCAGACAAACUCCGAAUGCCAAUUAAUUUAACUUGGGAGUCAGAACAUGGGUGAUAAGGUCCGUGUUCGAAAGGGAAACAGCCCAGACCACCAGCUAAGGUCCCAAAAUAUAUGUUAAGUGGAAAAGGAUGUGGCGUUGCCCAGACAACUAGGAUGUUGGCUUAGAAGCAGCCAUCAUUUAAAGAGUGCGUAAUAGCUCACUAGUCGAGUGACACUGCGCCGAAAAUGUACCGGGGCUAAACAUAUUACCGAAGCUGUGGAUUGUCCUUUGGACAAUGGUAGGAGAGCGUUCUAAGGGCGUUGAAGCAUGAUCGUAAGGACAUGUGGAGCGCUUAGAAGUGAGAAUGCCGGUGUGAGUAGCGAAAGACGGGUGAGAAUCCCGUCCACCGAUUGACUAAGGUUUCCAGAGGAAGGCUCGUCCGCUCUGGGUUAGUCGGGUCCUAAGCUGAGGCCGACAGGCGUAGGCGAUGGAUAACAGGUUGAUAUUCCUGUACCACCUAUAAUCGUUUUAAUCGAUGGGGGGACGCAGUAGGAUAGGCGAAGCGUGCGAUUGGAUUGCACGUCUAAGCAGUAAGGCUGAGUAUUAGGCAAAUCCGGUACUCGUUAAGGCUGAGCUGUGAUGGGGAGAAGACAUUGUGUCUUCGAGUCGUUGAUUUCACACUGCCGAGAAAAGCCUCUAGAUAGAAAAUAGGUGCCCGUACCGCAAACCGACACAGGUAGUCAAGAUGAGAAUUCUAAGGUGAGCGAGCGAACUCUCGUUAAGGAACUCGGCAAAAUGACCCCGUAACUUCGGGAGAAGGGGUGCUCUUUAGGGUUAACGCCCAGAAGAGCCGCAGUGAAUAGGCCCAAGCGACUGUUUAUCAAAAACACAGGUCUCUGCUAAACCGUAAGGUGAUGUAUAGGGGCUGACGCCUGCCCGGUGCUGGAAGGUUAAGAGGAGUGGUUAGCUUCUGCGAAGCUACGAAUCGAAGCCCCAGUAAACGGCGGCCGUAACUAUAACGGUCCUAAGGUAGCGAAAUUCCUUGUCGGGUAAGUUCCGACCCGCACGAAAGGCGUAACGAUUUGGGCACUGUCUCAACGAGAGACUCGGUGAAAUCAUAGUACCUGUGAAGAUGCAGGUUACCCGCGACAGGACGGAAAGACCCCGUGGAGCUUUACUGUAGCCUGAUAUUGAAAUUCGGCACAGCUUGUACAGGAUAGGUAGGAGCCUUUGAAACGUGAGCGCUAGCUUACGUGGAGGCGCUGGUGGGAUACUACCCUAGCUGUGUUGGCUUUCUAACCCGCACCACU
rnacentral:rRNA from 1 species